CAGGCGCGCAUGAUGAAGGCCAGCAGCGAGAUGAUGCGCUCCAGGAAGAGGUUGAAGAACAGGAUGGUCCCAGCGCAGCCGAACAGCCCGAAGAGUUGCUGCUGCUUGGAGUCUGAGCUGAAAAUGAAUCAUCUGUCUGAGUAGCACUAUAGCACCUUUCAACACCUCUGCAGCAAAGAUUCCCUGGAGGAAAUACCCACUUGCCUAACUGUGGUCUUGAUCUUAUGCCUAAUGACUCAAGUUAGGGGAAAAUCUUAUGAUCACGACCCUCACGUCGAGGAAGAUGGAUUAUAUCCCUAGAUUUAGAAUUUGGCCACAAGAGAAUGAAAAACCAAAUUAGCAAUGUAA